GAGGAUGGAUUGGUUAAGCUAAUGGCAUGGAUUGGAGAUGUUAAUGAUAAGCAUAAUAUAUAUCUAACAAUCCGGAAGAAAUUACAGACUCUCAAUUCCCACCUAGUUAAUCAGUCCGGAAGCAAUUACUGACAAUGUUCAUGAUAUCUAUCAAUAUUCUCAUAGAUAUCAAUAUUGUGUAAGUAGUCCAACGCGCACGUAGAGGUCAUAUAAUAUAUGAUUUGGUUUAUUGAUUGAGUACGCAUGAUGAGUUUUAUUAUAUGCAUGUUGAUCUUAUUUAAGUUUUAUAGU
rnacentral:lncRNA from 1 species